rnacentral:lncRNA from 1 species
CGGUGAUGGAACUGGAUGGCUACUGGGGACUCUUCCAAGUCAGAUGCUGAGAUUCUAAGGGUUAUUCUGUUCAUAUAUAUUCUACAAGGAGUCAUGGUCAAGAUUUCAGCAAGAAGCAAUAUUAUCGUCACUCCCUGACAAACCAUUCCAUAAUUGUAUCAUACCCAGUACUGGAAGACACAGAAAUAAGGAAGACCCUCUCCUCAGAGAGGUCUACUGGGGCAAGGAGGAGAUAAGAUAAGGAGAACAAACAACUAUUGCCAUCAGAAAUGAAGGAGAUAGUUGCAGAGAAAACUGGGAAGAUUUGUAUGAAUUGAUGCAAAAUGAAUCUUGUUUUAAUAGAUGGAGCCAUACCACUCAUCAAUUUUCAAACCAAGUACUGAAAACUUUCCCAAAUACCAAGAUAUAACAGAAGAAGCCAAAGUCAUGUGGGAACAAGAUGAACUGGACAUCAGCCCUUUCAAACUCUCUGCUAACUGUCCCAAGGACACUUUUGAGUCCAAUGCCAAAGCUGAGGGGUCCUGGUUCUGGUUUGUUGGACAAUUGGUAAACAUUGCUUAAUAAAUCAAUAUGCUCAGAGGGUUGAAUCAUUUUAAAUCAUCAUUUCUUUUUUCACCUGCCACAAGGUUCUUGUAAGAUGGAAGGGCAUGGAAUUCCAGCCAGGACAAGACUAUUCUCUCAGCACAAACCUAAUUAAAUGCAAUGAGGUACUGGAAAGCUAGACACCAGGGGAAAUUAUUUUUUCAGCCAAGAAGAUGGUGCAAUAAGGUUUAAAGGCUAGUAUCUAUGUGGGCAGAGGGAAGACUUACCUACAUUGAUGGAAUGAAAUCUCUGGCCAUGAUGUCUAUUUGACAAAGUAGGAAGUAGCCACUUUCAGGACUCAAAAGGCUAAGGGCAGUUCCUCUCUUACAGUUCUUUUAAGUAUUAGGAUCUAUGAUGUCAGCCUCAGUCUUGUAGGGUGAGAAAAUUUAAUUCUGGAAGAGGCACACCUCACCAAAUACCCAUGUUUUACAGGUAAGGGAUCUGUCAUUCUGGGAAGUAAAAUUAUUUGCCCAAGAUCGCAAGAACAUCCAGGUUCAGGAUUCCAAAUGAGAUCCUCUUAAUCCAAAUCCAGACAAGCUGAAUUGGAGGAUGUGAUGAUAUUUGUGAAGCACUCAACAAAGUGCCUGGUACAGAAUAUGUGCUUAAGAUAUAUUUGAAUAUGGUUCCAGAGAUAAAAAAUAGGAGUGAAGAAUUAGGAAGGUGGCUCAUAAGAAAAUAGCCAGGGAGUAAAACACUGUUGGAUGCUUGUGUAAGUCAGGAAUUCUUAACCUGGGGAAAGAUGGAGAAGGAAAGGAGACAAUGAGGAGAAGAAGGAAGAGGAAGAGGAUAGAUGGGGAAGGAAGGGAGGGCCUUUGGAAUCAGGAAGACCCAGUGAGCAGCACAGAUUUGGAGGCCUGGCUGCAUGGGGAGGAUGGGGGACAGAGGAACUCAUCAAAUGUCCCACAGCUGGCAAUAAAAUCAGGCAAGGGUGUAUAGAAACA